GAUGAACGCUGGCGGCGUGCCUAACACAUGCAAGUCGAGCGAUCUUCUUCGGAAGAGAGCGGCGGACGGGUGAGUAACGCGUGGGUAACCUGCCCUGUACACACGGAUAACAUACCGAAAGGUAUGCUAAUACGGGAUAACAUAAGAAAGUCGCAUGGAUUUCUUAUCAAAGCUUUUGCGGUACAGGAUGGACCCGCGUCUGAUUAGCUAGUUGGUAAGGUAACGGCUUACCAAGGCGACGAUCAGUAGCCGACCUGAGAGGGUGAUCGGCCACAUUGGAACUGAGACACGGUCCAAACUCCUACGGGAGGCAGCAGUGGGGAAUAUUGCACAAUGGGCGAAAGCCUGAUGCAGCAACGCCGCGUGAGCGAUGAAGGCCUUCGGGUCGUAAAGCUCUGUCCUCAAGGAAGAUAAUGACGGUACUUGAGGAGGAAGCCCCGGCUAACUACGUGCCAGCAGCCGCGGUAAUACGUAGGGGGCUAGCGUUAUCCGGAAUUACUGGGCGUAAAGGGUGCGUAGGCGGUCUUUCAAGUCAGAAGUGAAAGGCUACGGCUCAACCGUAGUAAGCUUUUGAAACUGUAAGACUUGAGUGCAGGAGAGGAGAGUGGAAUUCCUAGUGUAGCGGUGAAAUGCGUAGAUAUUAGGAGGAACACCAGUUGCGAAG
rnacentral:rRNA from 1 species